rnacentral:misc_RNA from 1 species
CACCAAGGUACACACAGCAGGUACCCAUCUCAUCCUCUACUCCUGUUAGGUAGAUGAGAUCCUUCGCAGACAUUCAUACCAGGACUGGUUCUGCGUCAGGUAUCAUUACGUCGCUAAAAGUAGCGUCAGUAACUCAAGUAGCACCAACAUAUCUUCCAAUCCAGAAUGCUGAAAGAGUGACAUGUCCAGAGAUCCUUAGGUGAAGUUGCAUAGCGGUCUCAGGCAUUAUCCACAACACCAGGUGGGGUCCCCAAAGUACAACAGCGGUUGCUGGGCCAAGCAUUCCCUCCGACCUCACUUGUCUGUAUCCAAGGUACUAACCCUCACGCACUUGCUCGUAUAAGAUUCUGGGAAUCACUGAGAUGUAAACACUGUGCUUACUGGCCUGAUGGGCCUUUGUAUAGUUACGACCCUCCUUUCACCGCCUACCCAGCUUCCACCACUGGUUAACAAUGGCCAAGGUCGUAUGUACAGAAGCAGUAGAAAUCUCACAAGUGUUAUCGAAUUACCACGACGAUUGUUAUCAGAGUACAGACAAACAACAAGCAGAUGAGUGACGGGCAGCAUGUUGUGUGUGAGAAUCGAUAUCAAGACUCCAGUAAAACACAUUUUCGACUCUGGGUGCCAAAGUUCUACUGUCUUGCUGUAGACGGUGCAUCCCCAAUGUAUUAGAGACAUACCACCAGCGUGAAAAGGCCAGUACCCGGAUAUGAAAUGUGUAACCCCAGAGCUUCAGUAGCCUACCCUUAGGAUAUCAAAAGCUUAUCCAAAGUAUCAACAACCCAGCCUAGCAUGCCAAAAGUCUAGUCCCAUGGUGUUAACUGCAUAGUUCUAGGUGUAAACGGUUUAGCCCUUGGAUGUCAAAAGCCUAACCCCAUGGUGAUAACAGAAUAUCCCUAAGUUGCCAACUUCUUAGCCUGAAUAUAUUAACAACUUAACCCUGGAAUUAAAAAAGUAUAACGCUCGUCUUUCAUCGGCAGCCACAGAGCCCAAACAUACCUACUUCGGACCCCAGCACUCAUCAAACAACUGCCCCUUGGCUUUCUGUGCCCAGGGACAACAGUACCUCUAGACCCCUCCAUGUUGGGCCCUUCCCAUGGGUGCUACACUCAGAUUCCUCAUACCUUCACACACAUAAAUGCUUAAUGUUUAUGAUUCAUCACUUAAUUCUUGCUGAGUUUAGAAACCCAGAUGUUUUUUUAAUAAGUGAAAGUAAAAUAACUUUUCAACAAGGGGAAAUUCAAAUUUCAUCCCAAGGAAGAGCACAUUUUAGUCAGUAGUAUCUCAGUCCAGAUCUAGAAGUCCGGAUCCCUGAUCCAACACUUCUUAAGUUGAAGAUCUUUGGAAUUUUAAGGCAUCAUAAUUCGAGAAUCAUAGAGAAUGGCUCUUGAUCAAAGAAUAACCUCCUAACAAGUUCAUAGGAGUUAAUGAUACAGGUGGUCCAUACGGUCCAUACCCAGUUAAGACUCUCCCUAAUUAGGACAAAAAACUGUAGCCCAACUCUGCCAGACUCAAUAAGAGUGUAGGGCUGUAGCAGUGGUGCAUCAUGCAACUUGGGGAGGGGGCGCGGCAGGUGGGACAGCCUUGUUGGAGCCACGCUCAGUGCAGGCGCUCACAGGAACACUCACACUGCACUGACCUCAUCUGUACUUGUAAUAGCGGGUUUCAUAACCAUGGAGGGAGGUGCUCUCGGAACUUCUGGGAGGACUUAGGGCUGCAGCAGUGGGAACUCCUGCUGGUGGCGCUCGUCAUCACCCUGGUGUUCCUUGCUAUCUUCAUGGGCUGCAUGUAUUUCUUCGUCUCGAAACUCGCCAGAAGGUACCGCCAGACUAUACCUGCGGAUGGGCUGGUCCCCAGCAGCUUCCAAGGCAGCGUCCCCAGCAGCAAGAUAAACAGCAUCGCAGACGGCAGCCUGAAGAGCAUUCGUGUCCUGGAGACUCAGCUAGUGGGCGGGGCGAUGGUGGAGAGCCAGAUGGUGGAGCGGAAGACGUUGACAGGUCAGCAGGGGAGCAGAGAGUUGGUGCUUGACGUUGACAAGUUGUGGCCUGCGUCACUCACGCUGCCAGCCACACAAUUCAUCCUUCCUCUCGAUUACCAACAUAACACCACUGGUAACGGCAGCCUAACCAUGGAUAUGUGUAUACCCAAGAGCUGCAUUAAUAUUCCCUUUUUAGAAAAUUAUCAACCAAUGAAAAUGAUGAAUGGACGCAUGUCUGGACAGAGUACAUCAAGCUUGUCCCGGAAGAGCAGCAACAUAUCGUGGUCUUCGCGUGGGUGGGAGUCACUCACCACUGACACUGAGUCUGAAUUAUAUAACUCCAACAGACGACAGUUCCGUGCUGCCUCCGCCAGGAGAGACGCUGGCAAGACCUACCGUCCUCUGCUCCUCAGGACCUCCACUUUUUCCGAGAGUGAUGAGUCACCAUGAGCGCUAUAGUCUUCUGACACAUCAAUUCUAGGAUUUCUGCUGUUUAUUAUUUUAUUUAUUUCUUCACAUCAGUCUCAUUAUAGUUCAGCAGAGUCUUAGACAAACAAGUGGCGUAGUGGAGAGUUGAAGAGGGAGGCUACUGAGGUGCAGGCGAGGGUAUGGGCGAGUCGGUGGUUGAGGUAGGCUGUGGUCUGGAGAUGUCGAUGACUGAGCCUACGCCUCCAGCGCCGCCUGAUGGAGCGGGGGUCAACU